AACGAACGCUGGCGGCAGGCCUAACACAUGCAAGUCGAACGCCCCGCAAGGGGAGUGGCAGACGGGUGAGUAACGCGUGGGAACCUACCCUACGGUCGGGAAUAGCCCAGGGAAACUUGGGGUAAUACCGGAUACGCCCUAACGGGGAAAGAUUUAUCGCCGUUGGAUGGGCCCGCGUCGGAUUAGCUAGUUGGUGAGGUAACGGCUCACCAAGGCGACGAUCCGUAGCUGGUCUGAGAGGAUGAUCAGCCACACUGGGACUGAGACACGGCCCAGACUCCUACGGGAGGCAGCAGUGGGGAAUAUUGGACAAUGGGCGAAAGCCUGAUGCAGCGACGCCGCGUGAGGGAUGACGG
rnacentral:rRNA from 1 species